UUCACAGUUGUUAUUUGUCUCCUCCCAGCCUCCUGCAGUCCCGUCAGGCAUGUGGUCCAAUAAUAGCCUGGCCAGGUAGCUCAGCCAUGUGGAAUUUGACAUUGUGUCCCGGGGUAUGUCGGGCCCCCGGUGGGAGAGUGUGAGUGGAUGGGAGACAGCCAGUGUCAGGGCUUUUCCAGAGCAGCGUCACAGACAGCUGGAGUUCAUCUGUUGUCCACAGUAAACAAACUCAAGCCUCAAACAUACUGUAGGAACCCCCGGGCCGGUGGCUGCAGAGGUGGGGGCAGAGUGAUUCAUGAGCGGGCCGGAAGGAAUGUGUAUGAGCACCACAUGUCUUUUCAGUUACAUGCUUUACACACACACACACGUGCACACAUAGAUACAUGCACACGAACGACGACAGGUGCGGCGUUGCAGGAGAGUACGUGGCACUGAAGGAGGCCCUUGUUAUCGUUGGCACCAGACUCUCAGCUGUGCCCUGUCGCACCACUGGAGGCUGUGUGGUCAAGGCUGAUAUAUGGGCUGCUGUAUAGGAACAGACAUGCCAUCACAUUCAGUCAUUAAAGAGUAACAGUGGAGGAGCUCUGUAUUCUGUCCAAGUGUCAAAAGGAAGUACUGACCCUGAUAUGUCAACAUUUUCAGAAUAUUCAACUUAUUAAUUAUCCAGUGACAUGUGUUUGACAUGUGUUAAAGGGCCAGUUCACUAUGGUAUCUAGCCAUUCAGUUAGUUUCUGUUAAGAUAUUCGUGACAAGGGAUUCUGACUCUGGAAAGAGAUGUUGCUGCUCAUUAAAGUUUUUAUUGCUGUGAGCACCACAAAACACGCAGUGGACAAUUUUCAUAGGGACUGUUUCUUCAGUACAAAGUAAUUCCAAUGAAAACUGUUCACAGUGAGGUCUGGAGAUUCUCCAAAAUAACGGAGUCAGUGUUUCUAGAUAGAGAUGUUACUGUUGAAUUUUUAAAUGUAAUUAUUAAUUUAAUUAAUCAUCCUUAACUAUUGUACCUAAUGGGCUGGUGGCAAAAAUCUCAGAGACAGAUUUUAGUUUUAAAGAAGGGAAAAUAAAACCCAAAUCUGAGAUUACAGUUCAUUCUAGACCUUGGAAACAGCAGUUGACAAAACAGUCUCACCACAAGGUCCAUACAUUUAGUGGCUGUUCUCCAGCUUUCAAUCAUAUCACACAAUCUUCCUCAGCAGAUGAAGCCAACAGGUUUAAGCCAAUGUGGACAAAAAGUCCUUAAAGUGCUGAGAAAAAAAAUGGAAAUCUGGACACAUUCCAUGACAACUGGACAAGUCCAUCUGCUGAGGAAGAUCAUGUGAUAUAAUCAAAAGCUCCAGAAUUUGUGGUUCUACAUGGCCACAUACCACCAGUGGUGGAAUAUCGCAAAGUAAAAAAAGU